rnacentral:rRNA from 1 species
CCUACGGGAGGCUGCAGUGGGGAAUAUUGCACAAUGGGGGAAACCCUGAUGCAGCGACGCCGCGUGAGUGAAGAAGUAAUUCGUUAUGUAAAGCUCUAUCAGCAGGGAAGAAAAUGACGGUACCUGAGUAAGACGCCCCGGCUAACUACGUGCCAGCAGCCGCGGUAAAACGUAGGGGGCAAGCGUUAUCCGGAUUUACUGGGUGUAAAGGGAGCGUAGGCGGCAGUGCAAGUCUGGAGUGAAAGGCGGGGGCUCAACCCCGGGACUGCUCUUGGAACUGCGCGGCUGGAGUGCAGGAGGGGCAGGCGGAAUUCGUGGUGUAGCGGUGAAAUGCGUAGAUAUCAGGAGGAACACCGGUGGCGAAGGCGGCCUGCUGGACUGCGACUGACGUUGAGGCCCGAAAGCGUGGGGAGCGAACAGGAUUAGAUACCCCGGUAGUC